GUCAGUCAUUGUCACAAUGUUUUCCUAUUUUUGCAAAUACAUUGUUUAUUAAUUGAAUAUUUUUUUUUAAAUGUCUUGUUGCAAAAUUGGUUUCCAAUGGUUAAUGUAAAUUAAAGGGACACUUUAGGUAUAAUACCAUUAAUAUCAUUGAAUUGGCUGUAGUGCCUGUAGUCCCCUGCAGCUAUCCCUCCAUUAAAUGUUAAAGCAUUUUCAGGUAGCUUAACACAGAAUGAGGGUCCAUGGCCCUUACUGGAAGUAUGACUAAGGCAGAGAUUACACACUUUCUUCUAGCUAUACCGACUCAUACCUGCAAUGGGCACUGUGAUAGGCUGAAAGAGGUCAGCUGACAGUCUCGGCCAACCACAGCCACAUAUUGCUGCUCAGCCUAAUGCUUCCUCAUGAACCCAAUCAGGACAGAGGGAUGGGCUGUUGGGGGAUGAUUGGUUAUCAUUAAUAAAUUAAAAUGGUUUAAUGCUGAAUGGAAGGAUGGUGCCUGUGGACUUAAAAUACUAUAACCAGUUCAAUAAGACGGGACACUGUCCAUUUAAGGAUAUUCACCUGUAUAUAUAGAAUAUCUGGUGGCAUAAAGUUUAGUUACAAUAAUAAUUUUAUUGUAAUUUGGUCCAAGUAAUUUUGAUAUUUCUUGUUUUCUCUCCUUUUUCUUAUCCCUGUGGAGUUUUCCUUUUCUUUUGGAUAAGUGUACACUGGGUUAAACCCCUUUUUUUUUAAAAAAAAAGAAAAAUUCUGGGCAGUUUAUUUAGGUGAGGUCACUAAGAUAAAGUGAGGUCUAGGACGCAGUACCACCCACAAAAUGAAUUUUAUCUCCGAUUAGGGCUUGCAGGGAUUACAGCAGCUUCACUCAGGGUUAUAAUGUGGGCUCAGAAGUUUGGGGCGACAAUGAUCAACAAGCAGGUGAUUUAUCCAUCUGUCAUAACUUACCAAGUGUUUAGUUGCUGCACUGUGUACACAAAUUAGUUAUUAACUUAGCCUUAC